ensembl:lncRNA
CAGCUGACAACUGUCAUAAUCCUAAAAUAUCCAAAAACAACUGCUAGCUAUGGAUGGGAUUGGGAAAAUACAACGUUGUGCCGAAAAUUUUAAAGCGGACGAAAUAGAAAAGUUGGUGAGUUUAGUAGAAAGCUCAAAGGAAAUAUUGUAUGGGAAAUUUUCUAUGAGUCUGACCAAAGAAAAGAAAGACCAAGAAUGGCUGAAAAUAGCCGAAAAGGUGAGCACCGUAUCAGGGAUCAGUAGAAACGUUGAAAACGUCAAGAAAAAAAUUACCACACUCACAAGUGUCGUUAAGAAUUAAGCAAGGUUAAUUUGUAAAGACCGGAGAAUUACCGGUGGUGGCAACUCUUCCGCUACCCCCAUGACACCGGCGGAGGACCGGAUUGUGGGACUCCUCAGCAAGGCUGACUACGAGGGCAUCGAUGGAGGCUUUGAGACUGGGUUGCCAGUGGACUUCUUGGAGACCACAACUUCAGUCAGUGAAGUUGUUGAAGUCGAUGCUACACAACCGCCUCCUGAAAAGAAAACACGUCCGCUGAAGUCAUCACCAGAAACCCUUG